CCUACGGGUGGCAGCAGUGGGGAAUAUUGCGCCAUGGGCGAAAGCCUGACGCAGCGACGCCGCGUGAGGGAUGACGGUCUUCGGAUCGUAAACCUCUGUCAGCAGGGAAGAACGGUCACUGUGCUAAUCAGCAGUGCAUUGACGGUACCUGCAAAGGAAGCACCGGCUAACUCCGUGCCAGCAGCCGCGGUAAUACGGAGGGUGCGAGCGUUAAUCGGAAUUACUGGGCGUAAAGCGCUCGUAGGCGGUAUGUCAAGUCAAGGGUGAAAUCCCCGCGCUCAACGUGGGAACUGCCUUUGAAACUGGUAAACUGGAGUGUGUGAGAGGAUAGUGGAAUUCCAGGUGUAGGAGUGAAAUCCGUAGAUAUCUGGAGGAACAUCAGGGGCGAAGGCGACUAUCGGGCACAUAACUGACGCUGAGGAGCGAAAGCGUGGGUAGCAAACAGGAUUAGAUACCCGGGUAGUC
rnacentral:rRNA from 1 species